rnacentral:lncRNA from 1 species
CUCACACCUAUAAUCCCAGCACUUUGGGAGGCAGAGGUGGGAGGACCGAUUGAGCUCAGGAGUCCGAGACCAGCCUGGGCAACACAGUGAGACCUCAUCAAAUUAGCUGGGUGUGAUGGCAUGUGCGUGUAGUCUCAGCUACUCAGGAGGCUGAAGUGGAAGGAUUGUUUGAGCCCAGGAAGCUGAGGCUUGCAGUGAGCUAUGAUUAUGCCGCUGCACUCCAGCCUGGGUGACGGGGUGAGACCCUGUCUCAAAAACAACAACAAUAACAUCUGCUCAUGAUAGCUUGUUGUCACUUUGUCAAGCAGAGAAUAGAUUAUGAGAGGACAUAGAUCAUGAGGUGUACAGAGAGGAGGGUGGUGAACAGAAAGGCUGAGAUUCUGGUGGCAAUAAAUAAAAGCACUGCUGGUAUGUGUCAGGCUUUGUAUUAGGCACUGGGAAUGCAAUGAGAAGCAAGAUUAAGGUGGUCUCAGUCUUCAGUAACAGAAAUAAUUAUGUACUGUUUAUUCCAUCUUGUAGGUUCUUUUUUCAAUUAUAUGGUGACAAUUUUCUUAUACCAAUAAAUAUUCCUCUACAACAUUAUUUUUAAUGGGUACAUAUGACUUCAUUUUAUAGA